GCCUGCUUAACUCAGUGGUAGAGUACCCGUCUCAUACGCGGAGUGUCACUAGUUCGACUCUAGUAGCAGGCA
rnacentral:tRNA from 1 species